UCAAACUUGGUCAUUUAGAGGAAGUAAAAGUCGUAACAAGGUCUCCGUUGGUGAACCAGCGGAGGGAUCAUUAGCGAGUUAAUAAACUCCAAAACCCAUGUGAACUUACCUAUUGUUGCCUCGGCAGGUCGUGCUGUGCGGGGGGUUGCCCCCCCAUAUGAGGGGUAGUUACCCUAUGGGAGCUACCCUGUAGUUGGGAGAGCCUACCCUGCAGCACAUAACCAGGCCUGCCGAAGGACCCCUAAAACUCUGUUUUACGCUUGUAUUUCUGAGUCUAUUAUACAAAUAAGUUAAAACUUUCAACAACGGAUCUCUUGGUUCUGGCAUCGAUGAAGAACGCAGC
rnacentral:misc_RNA from 1 species